GGGGAAACAGCAAGUAUUAUCACAAAUCUGAGAUAAUAAUUAUCAUAAUCAAGAAAUAAUUAGCAGUCAACAAAUUAAUUAGUAUUAGUAUAUCGUGAGCCAUGCAGACCUAUAGUACUAUAUUGUUUUGUGUCUUCGCGGCUGUAUCAGCGCUCCCUCACGACCCGAUCCUCAGAAAGCUUGACGAUGGAGCUCGCUACCAAUACGUGCAAGGUUCUGAUGGCACUCCUCACUUAGUAGACUUAUGGAUGAAGGCCAGUGACGUGGCUGAGGCGGCCAGAUAUAAUCCUGAGAGACAGAAUGUCUACCAUUUGUUUACCAGACAAAACCCAACAGUAAGUCAGCCAAUGCUGAUAGGUAAUGAGGGACUACUAGGUCUGAACAACUACAAUCCGGCUAGGCGGACCGUUGUGUUGCUGCACGGAUGGCUCGCUGAUGUCACUUCAGACUUCAACACUGUGUUGGUACCAGCGUUCCUGUCAGCUGAGGACGUGAACGUGAUCGUGGUGGACUGGAGCGCGGGCGCUGGCACCAUCAACUAUGCCGCUGCCGUCGCCAACACCGUGCCUUCUGGUGAAAGCGUAGCAAACUUCAUCGAGUGGUUGAACUCCGUCACCGGAGCUAGUCCUGCUAUGUACCACAUCGUAGGACACAGCAUCGGCGCUCACCAGGCUGGUAUCAUCGGCAGGAAUGUGGGAGGGAACAUUGCUUAUAUUACUGCUCUCGAAGCAGCUCUCCCCGGCUGGAUUACAAACGACGACAAGUUCCGCCCAUCAGACGGGGUCUACACUGAAGUUAUUCACACAAACGCCGGGGUCUUGGGCUACAUGAGCACUUUGGGGGACGCCGACUUCUACCCCAAUGGGGGAAUUAACAUGCCCGGGUGUAACUCUCAGGAGUGCGAUCAUGCUAGGUCAUAUUUCUACCUAGCGGAAUCGCUAACAUCGGCCGGCUUCACCGGACGUCGCUGCGCGUCGUUUGUCACCGCUAUGACCGGCAACUGUUUCCUAUGGGGGAAUCUGAGGAUGGGGGGAUUAGUGCCGAAGACUGGGUGAGAGCAAUCUUUAGUUGUUUUUAGUCACAGCCGAAAAAAGUCAAAACGUCACGUCAAACGUCAAUAGUUUCAAAUAAUUUAAUGUAUUUUCAUUUUUCAGACAAUCUGGAAUCUUCUACUUGGAGACCAACGCGUCGCCGCCAUUUUCACGAGGCUAAGAAAUUAAUGGACAAGAAAACCGAACAAAUAAAAUAAAUGACUGAUUUAUCACACA